GUCUGUUAAACAUUAAAAGCUUCCCUAAACAGGGCUGCCUUCAGAUGUCUUCUAAAACUCUGGUAGUUGUUCUUCUCUCUGUUCCACAGGGCGGGUGCCACUACCGAGGAGGUCAUCUGCUUCUCGCAGUGAGGAAACUGCCAGAAGGCCCUCAACGCUAGACCUCAGUGUCCGGGCAGAACGAUGGAGGUGGAGACGCUCCUUCAGGUAUACUGGACCGAGGCCGUUUAGGGCUUUAAAGGUCAGCACCAACACUUUGAAUUGUGCUCAGAAAUGUAGCUGUCUCACAGUUCCUUCAGAAAUACUGCAUUUUCCUUCAGAGCAGCUUCUAUCUGAUUUUAAAAGCUAAAGUGUGCACAUAUGAGAGAGCUGUUGCACAUGCACAGAUGGCGGCUUGUUGAACAGGAAGUGUGUGUGUGUGCGUGCGCGCGCAUGAACAGGGAAACCAAACAGAUAAAUUGCAUCAAGUGAAGACAUCCCAAUCCCAUCUCCAGUAUGUGCCUCAAGGGCCAAAAGGGAGGUCCUAUUAUCACCACCAAUCAGCUAUAAUAUAAUACUUCUUAAUUACAAUAAUUCAUCAUGCCACUGGCCAGAUUUUGACCCAAAGAUUUCUGCCCCCAAAAGACAACCCCCAAGAUAUUAUGCCCGAGUGAUUCAGCUUGCAGAGAGGCCCCCUUCUCACUGCUGCAUCUCAAUCUCAUGCAACAUGACCUGACUCUUUCUUUUGCCCCACAAACUUCACAAAGGCCAGUGUUGCUCAGACCAUUCUCCCAAAGGACACAGUGCCCUGUCAAAAUCCCAAAGAAACCAACUUCCAGUUUCCAUAAUGAAAGAUAUGGAAAUCUCCCAGAGUGGGACACAUUUAAAAUACCCCCCCACGGGUGAGCAGAAGCCUUCUAGACUCCUUCCCACACAGAAAUAUCCAGUGGUCAGCCCAGAUGGGUGAAGUCGGCACAUUAAGAAUCUGCUACCUGCAGGUCAGCUGUUCACACAGAUUCUUCCAGCUCCUGACACAUGGCCUGUUUAUUUUAGACAGCAAAAUGGCUAAGGUCAUCCCUGGACAUUUAGUAUAAAUGGAAUGACUAGGAAUAGCUCCUCGUUACGGGCUUUAAAUAUGGUGUGCUCCAAUCAGUAUGCAUUAGGGACUAUGGAAGGUAACAGUUGCACCCUUUAACAACAGAAUUCAAGUAGCGCUUGCCAGUAGUAACACGCUUUCAUAAAUGUUUCUUACCUAGUUCGGUGAAUUCUCUCUUGACCGGUAAACUGCCUCCCACUAUAACACACAUGGGGAACCUUUGGCCCUCUACAUGUUACUGAAAUACAAUUCCCAUCACCCCUGGCUGUUGGCUAUGCUUUCUGGAGCUGAGAAGUGUAGUUUAGCAACAUCAGGCUGGGAGGGGGUGUGAUGAAAGGUUCUCCACACCUGCACUAUAACAUCACUUCUAGACACCCUGGUCACUGAGCAUUCAUCCUGAGUUGCAGGGAGGUUAAAGGUAAAGGGUAAAGGGACCCCUGACCAUUAGGUCCAGUCGUGACCGACUCUGGGGUUGCGGUGCUCAUCUCGCUUUAUUGGCCGAGGGAGCCGGUGUAUAGCUUCCUGGUCAUGUGGCCAGCAUGACUAAGCCGCUUCUGGCGAAGCAGAGCAGCACAGGGAAACACCGUUUACCUUCCCACCAGAGAGGUACCUAUUUAUCUACUUGCACUUUGAUGUGCUUUUGAAGUGCUAGGUUGGCAGGAGCAGGGACCAAGCAAUGGGAGCUCACCCCGUUACGAGGAUUCGAACCGCCAACCUUCUGAUCGGAGAGUCCUAGGCUCUGUGGUUUAACCCACAGCGCCACCCACGUCCAUGUCAAAUCAAGCAAAUGUCAGUAUUGUUAUUCUAUCAAAAAAUUCUGGUUUUAAGGAGGGGUGAAGCAUAAAAGUUUCAAACCAACUUAAGUGGGAGAAGGAGAGCCAAGAGCAGGGACUCAUCCAGAGACACAGAAGGCAGCCUCUGCUUAAGGCAGGUUCUUCUGUCGCCUCUUUGCAUAAGGAACGCUCAAGGAAAUGAAUCCCACAAAGCUUUGUCUGCUGUUGGCAGAAGCUGCUGGAUCUGGUUGCUGCUGCCGCUAGUGGUGAACCACCAAACUGAAAUGUCCCGAGUCGUCUUCUUCUUUGGUGAUUACUUGUAGCCGAGUAAGAUUGUCUUCCAUAAACACGGUUUUAACAGUGAGUCCAUAAGUGACUGUAGAGGCCAAUUCUGGAUCCACAUGUCCUUCCAUAGUGGGGACACUGGUUUCCGGGUGGGAGUUGAUCACCAUGUGGAUUUGCCAAGCGUGCCUUCCUCUUAGCACGUUUCUCCCUUGCGUCCUGAGUUCGAGUGUCUUCAAAGCCCAUGACACCUUUGGGAAAGGCAGUUCUCCAACUGGAGCGCUCGCAGGCCAGUGUUUCCCAGCUGUCAGUGUUUCUACUACAUUGUUUUAGAUUUGCUUUGAGACAGUCUUUAAACCUCUUUUGUUGACCACCAGCAUUACACUUUCCAUUUCUAAGUUUGGAAUAGAGUAGUUGCUUUGGGAGACGAUAAUCGGGCAUCUGCACAUGACCAGUCCAACAAAGCUGAUGUUGAAGAAUCAUUGCUUCAACACAGGUGAUCUUUGCUUCUUCCUGUACACUGAUAUUCGCCUGUCUUCCCAAGUGAUGUGUAAAAUUUUUCAGAGACGCCGUUGAUGGACUCUUUCGAGGAGUUGGAGAUGGCGUUUGUAAGUGGUCCAUGUUUUGCAAGCAUAUAGUAAUGCUGGUAGUACAAUAGCUUUGUAAACAAGCAUUUUAGUUUCCCUGCGAAUGUCCCGGUCCUCAAACACUCUGCACUUCAAUCGGGAGAAAGCCACACUCGCUGAACUCAGGCAAUACUGAAUUUCGGCAUCAAUGUUGGCCCUUGUUGAAAGAUAGGUAGGAGAGGUGAUUGACAUUUUCCAACGUUACACCAUUGAGUUGGAUUUGUGGCGCUGUAGGGGGGCUACCGUAUUUUUCGCCCUAUAGGACGCACAUUUUCCCCUACAAAAAUGAAGGGAAAAUGUGUGUGCGUCCUAUGGGGCGAAUGCAGGCUUUCCCUGAAGCCUGGAGAGCGAGAGGGGUCGGUGCGCACCAACCCGUCUCGCUCUCCAGGCUUCAGGAAGCUAUCCGCAAGCCGUGGGAGCCCGGUGCGAAGUCGCGCAGCUCUCCCACGGCUUGCGGGGAGCUGCCUGCAUCCUGAAGCCUGGGGCGCGCUGAGCUCAGCGCGCCCCAGGCUUCGAGCUUCACGCAGCAUUCUGCAAGCCGUGGGAGAGCUGUGCGACUUCGGGCAGAUAUCCGCAAGCCUGGGGAGACCGGUGCGACUUCCCGCCGGGCUCCCUAGGCUUGCGGAUAGCAGCCUGUUCUGGGGGCUGGGGUCGGGGGAAGCUUGGGCUUCCCCCGCCCCAGCUCUGUGCCUGGGAGGAAAUAUUUUUUUUUCCUUAUUUCCCCCCCCAAAAAACUAGGUGCACCAUAUGGGCUGGUGCGCCCUAUGGGGCGAAAAAUACGGUAUUUUGUACUUGUUGGUGCAGCACUUUGGUUUUUUGCAUAAGAACAUUGACAGCUGCACUGAGCCAUAAAGGAAGUGGUGUGCCCUCUUUGCAGAAACGAUAAAGCCAUGCAACCUUACUGCUUAUGUUAUUUCCCCCUGAGCUGCAACUUGUUUUAUUCCACUCGGCCAGCCAGUGGUGACUAGUGAAAACUAAAAUUAGAAUUCUGCCCAAGGGAUACAGAAGUACAAUGUUAACUUAAUAUUUUCCAUUAUGCUACGGCACCAGGAUGAAUCAUCUAAACUGGAUAGGCAAUUGGCAACCCAGGAGUGAAUCCAGCUCUCUGGCCCUUAGCAUAGUUCCCUUCCCUGCUGUUAUGGACCUCAUGCAUUUGCUGCCAAAGGAGCUGAAACAGAGAGUGCUCUUCAACUUCUGCCCAGAAGACACUUUGGCAAAACUCUCCCAUUAAUAAUUCUUAUCAAAAUUUAGGCAAUCCAGCUUGAAGCCAGUCUCUCCAUGGAGCAAUAGGUCAAACGUAGAAGGAAUGUCUCCUAAAGCCUUUCUAGCUAUCCAGCCUAGUGGGAGGUUGCUGAUAGCAGAUAGGCAGGAAAUAAAUCUCUGAUGUCAGUAUGAGAGAUUAUGAAGUGGAUAAAGCUGUAAUUAGAGCCCCCAAGCAAAAGCAGCGCCGCAAUGAACCUUGCAGAAGGGCUGAACGCCAGCAACUUAAGUGGAAAUUCCCAAUCUGUCAAGCUUGUUUUUAGCUCAAUCAUUUUGAGAUUUUAAGCAAUAAUCACACUAAGUGACACAAACUUUUCACUUGAUUGGCUUUGCAUUUUGAUUCCCACCCCUUUCAAUGCACUUUUAUUUUUUUGGCAAGCUGCAAAACUAGAUAGACGGGAAAUUUUAAAAUAAUGUUCUGUUUCCUCACUGCACUUUGUGGUUUUAUCUGGAAUUCUUACUUUGCAGUGAUGUUGGCAUCUCAGCUCUUUCAAUAGAUUGUCAUGCCCUGAAAUAAGAUAAACUUACUUUAUCAGUGUCAGAGGUUUAUGACAUCAUAAGCAUAUAUUUAACACGUGUGACACAUUCUGUUUAAAUGGUGUUCCCCCCAAUACUUCUGUAACAUACACUGUUUUAACCUCUGAUUAUUUCUUUUCCUUAUUUUAGGGCUGCCUCCCCAGUACUUCAGACUUUAGACCGGGGCAGAUCUUCCCGAUGCUGCUGCAAUAAAUCUCCCAUCCAUGUGGAGAGCCAGUGUGGUGUAGUGGUUAAGAGUGUUGGACUAGGACCUGAUGGAGCAGGGUUCGAAUCCUACUCAGCCAUGAAGCUCACUGGGUGACCUUGGGCCAGUCAGCAUCUUAGCCUACCCUAUCUCACAGGGUUGCUGUGAGAAUGAAACUGGGAGGAGAACCAUAUACACCACCCUGAGGUCCUUGGAAGAAAAAAGUGGCAUAAAAAUGUAAUUAAUUUUUUAAAAAUAAAAUAAAACCAUCCCUAACUAUUGGCCACCCUGGAUGGGGUUGAUGGAAGCUGGAGUCCAGCAACAUCUUCUGUUGGGUGUCCUAUGUCGUAAACCGCGCUGUGGUCUCUGGAUGUAGGGCGGUAUAUAAAUUUAAUAAAUAAUAACAACAUCUAUAGGGACACAGGCUCCUAAUCCCCGCUACACACCUUAGUUGAGCUUUAGUCAUGGGCACAA